rnacentral:piRNA from 1 species
UCGAAAAGCCCCCCGAGCCGGUCCCCUA